UCCUCCUGUUCUCUCUGUGAUCUCCUCUGUUGGAUCAGUCUGUGUUGUGGUUCUACUGGUGUUACUGGUUCUGCUGGUGAGACAUGUUUACAGGAAAGUCACUGAUGCAGCUGCAGUCGACGCAGACGUGAGACCAGAAGACGUCAAAGACAAGAACAACAGGUCAAAGAUACGAGGAUGGGAUUCAACUGUGGUCUACUCAGCAGUGAGAACUGAAGGCAUCAGUGAUGGACUAGAAACCAUCAGAACCAGGAGGAGCAGACUUUAAACCACAGAAGGAUCUCUGCUCUGCACUGAAGCAGUCCUCCAGUCCAACCAUCGAUGUCCAGCUGCUGCUCUCUAACUGCUCCCCCAGCACCUCAGAC